rnacentral:rRNA from 1 species
GACGUAGGUGGCGAGCGUUAUCCGGAUUUACUGGGCGUAAAGCGCGUGCAGGUGGUUUGAUAAGUCGGGCGUGAAAUCUCCUGGCUCAACUGGGAGAGGCCGUCCGAUACUAUCAGACUUGAGGGCAGUAGAGGGAGGUGGAAUUCCGGGUGUAGUGGUGAAAUGCGUAGAUAUCCGGAGGAACACCGGUGGCGAAGGCGGCCUCCUGGACUGCCCCUGACACUCAGACGCGAAAGCUAGGGGAGCGAACGGG